rnacentral:lncRNA from 1 species
CGCAAAAUAAUAAUUUACAACUACAGAAAUAUCUAAAAAUUAUUUUGAACUAUAAAUUUCAAAAAAUAAUAAUUCCCCUUAAACCAAAACUAGUCAAAUAUGCAAAUAGUGUCGCAUGAAACAAUUUAAUUUUUUUUAUGUAUUUGCUUAUUUAUUUUGAACUCCUUUAAAAAAAAUCUAGGUUCCUCCAAUGCCAAAUCCGAAGCAUAUAAUAUUAGCCACGUUCAGCCUUAGUUUUUUAGAAAUUAAGAGUAACGUGUGGGGUACUUUUGUAAUUUGGAAAAACGGUUGGUCAUUAAAGAAAAUUAGAGUAACGUCUAGGACACUCUAGUAAUUUGGCAGUUGAAGUAGAAAAAUCUGGUUGGUCACGAAAGAAAAUAUAGGGUAAAGUGUAGGGUAAUAAUGGAAUUUUAAAGUGGAGUAGAAAAAGGAGUUGGUGAUUAAAGAAAUUUAGAAUAACUUGUGGGGAUAGUAAUGUAAUUUGAGAAAGAAAAUAUCUAAAGGUGAUAUUCCAGAUCGCAUCACAGGCCAUUGGGGGACCCACUAUACAGAACACGUGACAUCAACUGACAAGCCAAUACUCAUCAUCUACACGUGUUACUUAUGUGGUAUCAUCUGAUUUGCUG